rnacentral:misc_RNA from 1 species
CGGGGACUAGUACCUCUUUACUUGACUAUAAACCAACGGCUUCCAUUCUUUGAUAAUACACUGGAUUUGAUACACACAACAAGAUUUCUUGAUGGCUGGAUUGAUUUUGUGCUGCUAGACUUUAUAUUGUAUGACUGGGAUAGAGUUUUGAGGCCAGGGGGUCUGCUAUGGAUCGACAGCUUUUUCUGUCUGAAAGAGGAUUUGAAUGAUUAUUUGGAAGCAUUUAAGAUGCUAAGGUACAAAAAGCAUAAAUGGAUUGUUGCUCCUAAGCUGGACAAAGAUGAUGAUCGUGAAGUGUUCUUUUCUGCUGUCCUAGAAAAGCCUCCCAGACCAUUUCGUUAAUCUUAUAUUGGUGCUGUUGCUGCACUGCUAGCUUUAAAUCUUUCAAAUUUUAAUAGCUUUCAUUAUUGAUAUUUGUAUAGUG